CGAGCAACUCCUUCAAUUCAGUAGUAAGUUACCCGACCAUUUGCUUCCCAUUCCCGUUCUGUGAAACACCAAAUGAAAUUCAAAAACAAAACCUUUAGCAUAUAUAUACUAUGCAACUUCCCAAUUAUGAACCCUAGUUUUCUCAGCUCCACAUGCCAAAUACAAUGAAUGAUCAGAGAAGCAGAAAAACGGACCUACGUGAUUGUUAUGAAGAGAGUCAACAGAGCCUCAGGUUCUUGAAAAUUCAGAUAUAGCAGUUGGAUUCUACGGCUGAGAAAUUUCAAGUUUCUUGGACCAGCUCCGAGUUUAAGAGGUUAGACUCCCCACCCAAAACCAGAAAGGAGCUCUACUUUUCCGUUUGAUGAUUUGGUUUCCCUUCUCUGUUUUCUGUUGCCUCAUUUUUUCUUCUCCAUUUCUCCUGUACCGUUUCUCUUCUGAAUUGCUUGAUGGGAUUAGACACAAGCCCGUAUAUCUAGCCAGGUCGCCAGACAAAAGGCCGGCCUCUGGAAAACAAUUCGGAACCAUGAGCAAGCUUUUUAGGGCUAGGACACAGUAAACUAAACAUAUAUAUUUAUAUGUACAUAUAUGUUUUGUUCAUGGAUUCAUAUGAAGCAAAAAUAAUAAUUUGGUUGCUAUACUUUUAAUUUUUAUUCAAAUUAAUUCUCAC
rnacentral:lncRNA from 1 species